rnacentral:tRNA from 1 species
AGUAAUUUAGUUAAUAUAUAACACUAAUAUGUCAUAUUAAAAUAAUUGAAGUUCAAUAAUUACUA